CAUUAGGCUACUUUGCUGGCAGUCAUGAGAAGUCCGCUUGCUAACAGAACAUAAAUAUGCUGCCCAGAAACCUCGUGAAUAGUUCUGAUUUGUUUUACUA